rnacentral:tRNA from 1 species
UGCGUCCUAUCAACGGGCAAGCAACCGCCUGCUUUGGGAGCAGGAUGUCGCAUGUUCAAAUCAUGUCGCCCCGACCA